GGAGUUAGCCGGUGCUUCUUCUGUGAGUGAUGUCCUUCCUGCCGGUUAUUGACCCGCAGGCCUUCUUCCUCACUGAAAGUGCUUUACAACCCGAAGGCCUUCUUCACACACGCGGCAUGGCUGGAUCAGGGUUGCCCCCAUUGUCCAAUAUUCCCCACUGCUGCCUCCCGUAGGAGUCUGGGCCGUGUCUCAGUCCCAGUGUGGCUGAUCAUCCUCUCAGACCAGCUACGGAUCGUCGCCUUGGUGAGCCGUUACCUCACCAACCAGCUAAUCCGACAUAGGCUCAUCCGAUAGCGCGAGGCCCGAAGGUCCCCCGCUUUCCCCCGUAGGGCGUAUGCGGUAUUAGCCUGGGUUUCCCCAGGGUUAUCCCCCACUACCGGGCAGAUUCCUAUGCAUUACUCACCCGUCCGCCGCUCGCCACCAGGGAGCAAGCUCCCCGUGCUGCCGCUCGACUUGCAUGUGUUAGGCCUGCCGCCAGCGUUCAAUCUGAGCCAGGAUCAAACUCUGA
rnacentral:rRNA from 1 species